UUUGCUUUCUCCUUCCUUUCCUUCUCUCUCUCUCUUUUUUUUUCCUCAUGCCACUCAAUUCUCCUGGGCUCCUCUUCAAAGAUUUAAUGAAGAUUAAAAAUUCACUUUGGAGCCAGGAUAUAUCAUAAGCUGGGAACAGAGAGGCCAAUGAAUCACACCAGGACCCCUUGCACUGGCUCUGAGGCUGGACUGCACCCAAAGCUGCCUGCAGGAAUGAGAGGAAGUUAUGGCAUGGAAAGCAUUGCAUCUUUGGGCCUUCUCUCUGAGGCAGCAUGGAAGCAUCCACAGCCCAGUCAGGAAAUUCAGAGAAAGAAACGAAACUGAUGACAUGGAUAUUAGGAACACAUUCUUUCCCACUGAGCCUUGCUCCCUGGGGUGCAGGCCUAUGGGUUGGUUUGGAACAGAGGCAGCUCUCUGGGUGCCUAGACUGGCAAGAACUGAGAUUUGGCCUGAGGCUACAUCAGGUUCCAGAUUCCAGUGGUGAGCUCCAGGAUCCUGUGGGGACAGUCUGCUGUGGACUCUGCCACCAAGGCCAGGCACUCAUUAAUCUGCACUGGGUAUCUGCAACAGGAGCCUGGUCUGAGGGAGAUGAGCAUGAAGCAGUCACCACUCUCAAGUUUGAUCCAAGAUAUUUGAAAUCCCUCAGCAUGCCAGCCUCCUAUGGAAACAUUUGCCAACUUAUCAGGGAUGUGGAAGACACAAACUUUGGGUGAAAGCAUCAUAUUUUCACGUAAUCUGUGAAGGCCAAGGAAAGGUCUUCUUGUUUAAAUGGCAUAUGGCUUGCAGUUUCUGAUACAGCUUCUCAAAAUAUCCGAAAGAUAUAAAUAUUCCUGAAGGACCAGAAAAAAAGACAAAACCCCGUAACACUAAAAAUUAGUAUUAAUGGACAAUCUAGUGCUAUAAUCUAAGAAGAAUCUCCUUAAUAUAAGAAAGAUGGAGCUAAAUUAGAGGAAUAAAUCUUGUGUAGGUUUCUCUUUAUGGCACAGCCAGGUUUUAUUUAUUUAACUUCAUGAAACAUAACACCUAGGGUGCAGGGGGAAGUAAUUUCAUAAGUCCUUGAUGUCUGCUUCAUUGACCAGAGGCUGAGGAUGUUUACAAACCAUAAAACAGGACAACAUUCAUUUAGGGAAUGGGGUAGAGCAUUUUGAUCUACC
rnacentral:lncRNA from 10 species